GUCUACAGCUAUACCACCCUGAACACGCCCGAUCUUGUCUGAUCUCGGAAGCUAAGCAGGGUCGGGCCUGGUUAGUACUUGGAUGGGAGACCAUCUAGGAAUACCGGUUACCGUAGGCU
rnacentral:rRNA from 1 species